rnacentral:pre_miRNA from 1 species
AUAAGGGAAUAAGUGAAGCUGCCAGCAUGAUCUAGCGUUGGAUGGAUACCCAAGUAAUAUAUUUUAAGAUGCACCCUAGCUAGGUCAUGCUCUGACAGCCUCACUCCUUCCCUCU